GACGAACGCUGGCGGCGUGCUUAACACAUGCAAGUCGAACGGAAAGGCCCUGCUUUUGUGGUUUGCUCGAGUGGCGAACGGGUGAGUAACACGUGAGUAACCUGCCCUUGACCUUGGGAUAACCUCAGGAAACUGGGGCUAAUACCGGAUAGGAGCUCCUGCUCCGUGGUGGGGGUUGGAAAGUGUCGGCGGUUGGGGAUGGACUCGCGGCUUAUCAGCUUGUUGGUGGGGUAGUGGCUUACCAAGGCUUUGGCGGGUAGCCGGCCUGAGAGGGUGACCGGCCACAUUGGGACUAAGAUAGGGACCAGACGCCUACGGGAGGCAGCAGUGGGAAAUAUUGCACAAGGGGCGGAAGCCUGAUGCAACAACGCCGGGUGCGGGAUGACGGCCUUCGGGUUGUAAACCGCUUUCGCCUGUGACGAAGCGUGAGUGACGGUAAUGAGUAAAGAAGCACCGGCUAACUACGUG
rnacentral:rRNA from 1 species